rnacentral:lncRNA from 1 species
CAGUCCCUCUAUCAUGAGUCCCGACUUGAUGGCAGGUCAUAGAUAAAUCGUCAAAUCUCAACAACAGUCAUAUGAUAGAUUCGAUUAGCUCAAGUCCAGUUGUGACUUCAAUAAAUUUUUUUUUCCAUCAAUCAUACUACUGUGAUCGUAGAUUCUUGGACUUAACUUCUCAAAUCUCAUAGGACUACUCCUUUCUACCAAGGUUGAUAGAUUCCAUCUUGAUGCACACCCU